rnacentral:rRNA from 1 species
UAACGCGUGAGGAACCUGCCUCAAAGAGGGGGACAACAGUUGGAAACGACUGCUAAUACCGCAUAAGCCCACGGCUCGGCAUCGAGCAGAGGGAAAAGGAGCAAUCCGCUUUGAGAUGGCCUCGCGUCCGAUUAGCUAGUUGGUGAGGUAACGGCCCACCAAGGCGACGAUCGGUAGCCGGACUGAGAGGUUGAACGGCCACAUUGGGACUGAGACACGGCCCAGACUCCUACGGGAGGCAGCAGUGGGGAAUAUUGCACAAUGGGGGAAACCCAGAUGCAGCGACGCCGCGUGGAGGAAGAAGGUCUUCGGAUUGUAAACUCCUGUUGUUGAGGAAGAUAAUGACAGUACUCAACAAGGAAGUGACGGCUAACUACGUGCCAGCAGCCGCGGUAAAACGUAGGUCACAAGCGUUGUCCGGAAUUACUGGGUGUAAAGGGAGCGCAGGCGGGAAGACAAGUUGGAAGUGAAAUCUAUGGGCUCAACCCAUAAACUGCUUUCAAAACUGUUUUUCUUGAGUAGUGCAGAGGUAGGCGGAAUUCCCGGUGUAGCGGUGGAAUGCGUAGAUAUCGGGAGGAACACCAGUGGCGAAGGCGGCCUACUGGGCACCAACUGACGCUGAGGCUCGAAAGUGUGGGUAGCAGACAGGAUUAGAUACCCUGGUAGUCCACACCGUAAACGAUGAUUACUAGGUGU